rnacentral:rRNA from 1 species
UGGGGAAUCUUAGACAAUGGGGGCAACCCUGAUCUAGCCAUGCCGCGUGAGUGAUGAAGGCCUUAGGGUCGUAAAGCUCUUUCGCCAGAGAUGAUAAUGACAGUAUCUGGUAAAGAAACCCCGGCUAACUCCGUGCCAGCAGCCGCGGUAAUACGGAGGGGGUUAGCGUUGUUCGGAAUUACUGGGCGUAAAGCGCGCGUAGGCGGAUUAAUAAGUCAGAGGUGAAAUCCCGGGGCUCAACCCCGGAACUGCCUUUGAUACUGUUAGUCUUGAGUUCGAGAGAGGUGAGUGGAAUUCCGAGUGUAGAGGUGAAAUUCGUAGAUAUUCGGAGGAACACCAGUGGCGAAGGCGGCUCACUGGCUCGAUACUGACGCUGAGGUGCGAAAGUGUGGGGAGCAAACAGGAUUAGAUACCCCCGUAGUCC